UGGGGAAUCUUCCGCAAUGGACGAAAGUCUGACGGAGCGACGCCGCGUGAGUGAUGAAGGCCUUCGGGUCGUAAAGCUCUGUCAUCGGGGACGAACGGCCUCAGCAGGUAAUGGCUGGGGAUUGACGGUACCCGAGAAGGAAGCCACGGCUAACUACGUGCCAGCAGCCGCGGUAAUACGUAGGUGGCAAGCGUUGUCCGGAAUUAUUGGGCGUAAAGCGCGCGCAGGUGGGAUCUUAAGUCCAUUUUGAAAGUUCGGAGCUCAACUCCGUGAUGGGAUGGAAACUGGGAUUCUUGAGUACCGGAGAGGAAAGCGGAAUUCCCCGUGUAGCGGUGAAAUGCGUAGAUAUGGGGAGGAACACCAGUGGCGAAGGCGGCUUUCUGGACGGUGUCUGACACUGAGGCGCGAAAGCCAGGGGAGCGAACGGG
rnacentral:rRNA from 1 species